AACGGCGACUGUAAACGGCUUCCUCCGAGAAGAAAGCGAAGAUGAAGCUGAAGGUUGUGUAUCGUAAGGUCUCCGAUUACAUCCGUCACGAUCUCAAAGAAAUCGUCUUACCUUCGUCGCUUCCCGAUCCUCCUCACGUCGUUAAACGCCGCAAAUUGACUUGGCACGAGCGAUUUCUCGUGUUGAAGGAAGCUUCAAGGCUUUAUGCAGCAAGCUGGGUGCGAGAUAUAGGUCCUGAGCUUCGUCCCAAUGAUUACAAGAAGCAGGGUGAUGCUGAACCCAAGAAACAAGCCAAAGAGACUGAGAAAGAGCCCUCUGUUUUGGAAGAUCUUGCGGUAGCUGCAAGAGGUGGCAUGGAGACUUUAAGGCCUGCUUUACAUCGUGUGUACAUGACACGUGCUUCUAAUUAUAAAGAUGCUCUUGCGAGCUUUAUCAAAGGUUACCAUGAGGGUGUUCAGCAAGUUAUGCAGAACAAGGAAGAGUCUCAAGUCCCUAGAGAUGAAUCAUCGGACAACUCUAAAAAGACUACAUGAGAUUUUUACUUUGUCAGCUCCAGUAGGUGAAUGCGACUUAUUCAGAUUACAUUUUCUCAAGGACUCUUUCUGAGCACAAGCUGGCUCAUUGCGGGGAUGCCUUUUAUAUGUCAGAGACUCAGAUGACUGUUUCAACCCACUGGAAAAAAUAGACGAACCCCUAAUGCAGGAGAGGCCACUGAGCAUCUUAAAUGUAGCCAAAAGCUCGAAAGACUAGUGAUAAUGGCGCAUGUCUGAGGAGGGGUCCCUCUCCCACUUGUAAAGCCACUAAACCAUUGGGCGGAGAUCAGCUAGCCUUCCAAGUCAACAAGUAAGUAUCUUUUCCUGAAUCUGCAUGGGCCCUAUAGAGAAUCACCUGUGGCUAAGUAAGUCGCUGGAAACAUAUUUUGCAUUACCUGUUGAAUAUCAACCCAUGCUGUCAAGUCAACAGAUGUGUCUGCCUUAAAGAUUGCAGCUGUUACUGCACUCAAAGUUGGAACAUGCGCUCAUACAAUCCCGAGCAUUUGUAGUUAGUGAGUGGUCCAUGAUAAGGCUGUAUUGUUACCAUCUCUGUUAUGGAAACUUUCUGUCUAAUCAAACCUUAGCUUUACUCCUUUGGUUGCCUAUACGCAGAUAGUUUCGAGAGGUUCUUUUUGACAAAAGCAUACACUGAAAUGAUUGUAGUAGAGAUGUCAAUUUUCUUUUUCGCUUAUCGAUAAGUCAUAACGCAGCUAUAGCUACCUCACUACCGAAAGCAGCCUUGGGAUUAGUCCCUUGUCUGACUGUAGUCUAUUUUAUCAUAAAUCAGGUUGAUAAAACCAUCAAUCAAAUCAUGAAUGUAAAACC